CGUCCUGGAGGAAGGCCAGCCCCUUCUGCCCCUCCCACCAUGAGAUCUUCUGGCCCUGAACUCGACGCCCAGCGGAGACGGGAGCUGCGGAAAAAAAACAAACCCAACCGGAGAAACAUCACAAGCUAGAAGGUCUACCCAGCAGCCUUUUGAUGGCUUUAACCCUGAACUGAAAUCUGGAUCAGGAAUAAGAAGGAGCCUCCAUGUUCAGGCUUUGACCUGAAGGGCGAGUGUUUGUGCAAGGAAGAGCAAAGAAGAGGACCAAAACAAGAAAAGACAGAAACAGAGAGCCAACUCUUUGAUAUCCAGCGAGGAGUUUUAAAGUCAACAUGGUCAACAACGUCCUUCAAGAGUUCAGAAACGAAAUCUACAACAGCCGGGCAAACGCCAUCUGCUGAUCGUGUGAUACGAUCAUCGCUCCAGAACAGCUGUUGAAUGGACCUUGUGCGGCAGCCAGGUUUCCCCCGGCGCUGUCCCCAGACACACACACCCUCUCCGGAUCGAUGCUGUAGCGCUCCAAAACCUGAGCCGACAGGAAGGCCCGCGAUGCCGCUAACGCAUCGUGGUACUGAUCUGGGAACACCGCCUCUGGAGCGAGACGAUUUGAUGUCCCCAAAGCAUGUAAUUUCAACUCUGAUCCAUACCUCACAGCUUUCAUUGGCUUAACCAUCUCCAUGAGAACUGAACUCCAUCCAUUUGUCCAAGAACUUACUCCACGGACAUGAUGACAGAGUCCAGCUCCUCCGCCAUUUUCCGACAAAGAAGGUCGUACGAUCGCAUCCCUGCGAAGCAGGCAGACUCGAUAAGUCAUGUCAACAAUAAUGUACGUGUUAUAUGUCAUAUUGGUUGAAUACAGGGAUGAAUUUUCCUUCUUUUCUGCAGCUGUCAGAGUUUUUCAAAUCAACACUCACUCCCGC